GAGGAUGAUCAGCCACAUUGGGACUGAGACACGGCCCAAACUCCUACGGGAGGCAGCAGUGGGGAAUAUUGGACAAUGGGCGCAAGCCUGAUCCAGCCAUGCCGCGUGAGUGAUGACGGCCUUAGGGUUGUAAAGCUCUUUCGUCAGGGACGAUAAUGACGGUACCUGAAGAAGAAGCCCCGGCUAACUUCGUGCCAGCAGCCGCGGUAAUACGAAGGGGGCUAGCGUUGUUCGGAAUUACUGGGCGUAAAGCGCGUGUAGGCGGGUCUUUAAGUCAGGGGUGAAAUGCCAGGGCUCAACCUUGGAACUGCCUUUGAUACUGGAGAUCUUGAGUCCGGGAGAGGUGAGUGGAACUGCGAGUGUAGAGGUGAAAUUCGUAGAUAUUCGCAAGAACACCAGUGGCGAAGGCGGCUCACUGGCCCGGUACUGACGCUGAGAUGCGAAAGCGUGGGGAGCAAACAGGAUUAGAUACCCUGGUAGUCCACGCUGUAAACGAUGGAUGCUAGCCGUUAGGCAGCUUGCUGCUUAGUGGCGCAGUUAACACUUUAAGCAUCCCGCCUGGGGAGUACGGUCGCAAGAUUAAAACUCAAAGGAAUGACGGAA
rnacentral:rRNA from 1 species